CCUACGGGUGGCAGCAGUAGGGAAUAUUGCUCAAUGGGCGAAACCCUGAAGCAGCAACGCCGCGUGGGGGAUGAAGGUUUUCGGAUUGUAAACCCCUUUUGUUAGGGAAGAUAAUGACGGUAUCUAACGAAUAAGCACCGGCUAACUCCGUGCCAGCAGCCGCGGUAAUACGGAGGGUGCAAGAGUUACUCGGAAUGACUGGGCGUAAAGAGCGCGUAGGCGGGAUUGCAAGUCAGAUGUGAAAUGCUAUGGCUUAACCAUAGAACUGCCUUUGAAACUGGUAUUCUGGAGUAUGGGAGAGGGAGGUGGAAUUCUUGGUGUAGGGGUAAAAUGCGUAGAGAUCAGGAAGAACACUAGUUGCGAAGGCGACCUGCUGGAACGUAACUGACGCUGAGGCACGAAAGCGUGGGGAGCAAACAGGAUUAGAUACCCGAGUAGUC
rnacentral:rRNA from 1 species